rnacentral:lncRNA from 1 species
UUUAAUAAAGGAUUGAACGUCCAAAAUUUGAUGUCAAAAUAUUUUAUAAAAAAAAUUAAAAAUAAAAUAAUAUAAAGAUGUCACAUUGCGAUUAGGAUAAAUUUAACCCACCGUUCAGAAUGAGAGGUUGGAUAGGAUUUUAUGCUGGAGAAGAAGCAUAGAAAGCACGCCCAAAUACUUUUUGCUUUAAGUUUUACGAGAGGGUGAGCGGUAUAUUUUUUCACUUGCGAAGAGCACAUAGAGGCCAUAGGAGCAUACUAUACGUUUAAUUCGGACCGGGCCAUGGGACAUUGAAAGUGGGGACCCACCAUUUGAAGCGAAAGGGCCGACAACAAGAUGGCAAUGGGCGGGCCCACAUGAAUUUGCAGAUAUGGAUAAGGCCGUGAGGUGAAGCCCCCUCCACAGCUACAAGUCGCUUUCUUCCCCUAAUUCCCAUCCCCCAAUCCGGUCGCUUCCCGCCAGAACCGGCAUCGCCACGUCAAGCCAGAACGGGACGCAACGUCCCCUCGUGUCGCUGAAGCGGUCGAUCCCGUUAUCAAAUGGACGGUAUGGAAGAGCCACGUGGCAAAUUGAUGGCCGCCCUAUCGUGGUGUGCAAGUUGAUGAUUGGUCCGUCUCCAUGAUGAUGUGGUGCACCGACUUGAGCACAAUCCACACGUGGGAGCACGUGUCAAACGUUUUGUGGAUUUAAUGCCAGUUUGGUUUCCGCCUACUAAUCGAGUUUCUUUGCCUAGUUACCG